rnacentral:misc_RNA from 1 species
AAGUCGUAACAAGGUUUCCGUAGGUGAACCUGCGGAAGGAUCAUUAGCGUAAGGAGAGGGCGCGCGCACGUGCGCCCUCACUACACACUGUGUGAACGAGAACGUGUCUGCGGCUGGAGGCGCGUGCACGGGGGGAGGUUGUGUGAGCCGCCGAGCGCGGCUUGCGCGCUUUGCCCCGCGUCGCGCCGCCAGCAUGCAUCUCGAAACCGUUGACAAUCUAACCCACCAUAUAUAUAUAACUUGUAACCAAACACACAACUUUUAACAAUGGAUCUCUAGGCUCCU